UACGUAGGGUGCAAGCGUUAAUCGGAAUUACUGGGCGUAAAGCGUGCGCAGGCGGUGAUGUAAGACAGAUGUGAAAUCCCCGGGCUCAACCUGGGAACUGCAUUUGUGACUGCAUUGCUGGAGUACGGCAGAGGGGGAUGGAAUUCCGCGUGUAGCAGUGAAAUGCGUAGAUAUGCGGAGGAACACCGAUGGCGAAGGCAAUCCCCUGGGCCUGUACUGACGCUCAUGCACGAAAGCGUGGGGAGCAAACAGG
rnacentral:rRNA from 1 species